rnacentral:rRNA from 1 species
CUACGGGACGCAGCAGCGGGGAAUAUUGGACAAUGGGGGAAACCCUGAUCCAGCAAUGCCGCGUGUGUGAAGAAGGCCUGCGGGUUGUAAAGCACUUUCGGUUGGGAGGACUGCUUCUAGCACUAAUAUUGUUGGAAGUUGACGUUACCUUCAGAAGAAGCACCGGCUAACUCCGUGCCAGCAGCCGCGGUAAUACGGAGGGUGCAAGCGUGAAUCGGAAUUACUGGGCGUAAAGCGCGCGUAGGCGGCUAGAUCAGUCGGGUGUGAAAGCCCCGGGCUUAACCUGGGAACUGCACCCGAUACUGUCUAGCUUGAGUACAGGAGAGGGGAGUGGAAUUCCACAUGUAGCGGUGAAAUGCGUAGAUAUGUGGAGGAACACCAAUGGCGAAGGCAGCUCUCUGGCCUGAUACUGACGCUGAGGUGCGAAAGCGUGGGGAGCAAACAGGAUUAGAUACCCCCGUAGUC